rnacentral:lncRNA from 1 species
CAGAAACAUGAGACUGUAGGAGUAUAGCUGGGGAUUCAUGAAAUGGGGGAGAGAGGUAAGGUGAAACAGUAAAUAUCUUGGGGGAGAAAUGGGGCACUAGGUAUAUGGGGAGAACUGUCGAUAUUGUUGUCAGAGCUGUCACGGGCUGGCUUAUUGAGUGGGGAAGAUGUAGGUUAAUUAAUCCUGCUGCUUCUGGAAUCAUUUAUUAAAUUACAUGCAGCUUCUGUACUAGAAAAAUUGGCUGGUAUAUACCUGGAUGGCAUAUUGGUAGGGCAGGCUUUACACAGGAGUGGCUUUGAAAUACAAGAGGGGCAUCAAAGGACCUUGUUUUUUUCUUUUCUUCAUGGUGGGCAAAUAGGCAAUGAGUCAGUUCAGCUAAAGGGAAUGAUUUAGUGAUUGAUCUAAGUGUCAGGUCUGAAAUCACUGCUGUAGACUCCUUGAAACUACAAGGUCGUCUCAGCCUUUCAUCGUUCCAGGGAAGAAAAAUUGAGUGCCAUGCAGUUACCACAUCUGCUCCUCUGACUGAGGCCUUUAAAAAUGAAGGCCUAUACCUUCUACAUAGAUUUGAAAUAAUCUGAGGUACCUGCCAGAAUGGUGAAAAUCUUGCUCAUGUUUUCACACCCUCAGAGUUACAAAGCAAAUGGCAUGCCAGAGGUACGAACAUGAACCUGACUCCAGCCAAUAAGUAUAUUAGAAAUAGCUCUGUAAUAUAUGUGUUACAUUACAAAUGAACACACAUGCUUUACACUGAAAAAUGGGAGGCACUGUUAAUACCAGUACUAGACAUUAGUUCUCUGCUUUCUAUACAAAUAGAUUUUCAAACCACUGAGCUCAAAUGGUAAUGUGAGCUCAUCUAAAGUCAUACAUUUGUGUUUUCAUGAAUUACCAUGUUCAGAGAGAAUACCCUGGCUGAAACCACCCAGACAGCACUGCUCAUCAGCUCUGUGCUGGCUCGGUGUGUCAGAGCGAACUGCACGGGGGCAAACAAGGAGUCAAAACAAAUCUCUUAUUGCUGAAGGUUACCUUGCCACUAUCUAUUUCUGUUUCUUGUCUGUACACAUAGGUUACAAUGAGGCCCUUUUCCAUGGCUGAGGCUGGAACAUACUGCAGCAACUGUACCUUCACUGUGGCACUAAUAACAACCACUGGCUUCCACAAGUAUUCCCUUCUUUCUGAUACUUCCUGGACAAGGAGCCUCUCAUACAAACAAGCGACCACUGAAAAAACAAUGUCACUAAUCAGUAAAAAGUGCAACAAGCCACAUGCAGCAGGGCAAUGCAUGUGCUCUGCAAAGUGCAGUUCUGGCUGGGGAGAGUUUGGUAGGUCUGGAGAGCCCAAAGAAUCCAAGCUGACAAACCUAAACGAAAGGAUUAUCUCCCACCUCCAAGACCUCAGCGCUAUAUUCAUCAAAUGCAUAAUUAUGCACAGAAUUAUAAAUUUAAGGAUUAAAUGUCACUCUUCACUCGAAGCUACUGUGUUUUGCCAUUCCUUGAAAAAGGACAGUGUCUCACAUUGAGCUGUACUUAAAGUUCAGUAGAUACUGAAAUUGGUAGAUAAUGAAAUAUUUUGCUGAAUCCUUCCCAUUUUUGGAAAGCAAUAAAUUUUGCUGUUUGGAUUAAUUAUUAUUGUGGUUUUUUUUUCUGCAGGAGAUUUGUUUCUACAGCCUCAGUGUCACGAUACUGUUUUUCUCAUUUUCAGGAGAGAGUUCACAUUUAUCUGGAAAGUAGCUAGCAUUGGGACUAACGAGAAACAUCUGAGAAAUGCUGCUUUAUUAUUACAGUAGUGCCAAAAAACCUGAAACAAAAUAAACCAGAUUCUUUUUAGGGUAUGAACUAUUCUGCAUUAUAGGAGGUGCUCCACACUACUUUAACAGAGUCAGAGAAUCCAAACAGAUCAUCUUCUGCUUUUCUAUAUAUCUCAUUAUUUGUCAUUUGUGAGACAUCAGUUAGCUGCUGGUUUAUUUGAGAUGACCUUAAUAACCUACAGAAUAUAAUUUAAUUUAUUUUAAGUAAGUAAUUUUGCAAAAAAUGGUUCUGAAAUGAUAUGAGAGAUAAACUUUCCUUAGUCACUAAUGCAGUAUUUAAAAUGUUUGAGUGAUCAAAUCAGAAGAUAAAAAUAAUAAACAUUUGACUCCCAUGGCCAACCAAAAAAAGAACUUUUUGAAUAAUCCAGAGAUAGUUUUGUGACUUGUUUAACUAAUAUAAAGAACCAUAUUAAAAGGGGAGACUGUCAGUGUUCGAGAGACAUUUGGAUAAUGCGGUUUCACACUGACAGAGAUGCAAAAUCAAUGAAAUGUCUAAAAUUAUGAACAUUAAAAAUAAGAAAAACACUACUUUGUUAAUUUAGCAUAGAGAAAUUAGAAUAUUAUAUAAUUGAAAACAGGUUAUUUUAAAAGGAAUGAUCUUUACUAAUCUGUACUCAGCAUCACUUUCAAAUAGGUUUUAGGCCAGUCACUUUCCUUAUUCCAUUUAAAAAUUUAUAUUUUUAUAUUUUAUUCUUUUAUUUAUACCCCAGAAAUGCUUCUGUUCUCAAAUUAACUUGUUAAGGCUAAAAACAGAUGAAACAGGGAAAGUUUAAUCAGGUAAAUGAGUAGUUUUCAGUGCAAAAGCAACAAAGUUCCCAUUGAGUUCAGGAGAGAUUAUUCUUUCCAGAGGAAGAAGGACCACAAAGUUUGUACCCUGCUAGCCAGUUGUCUUCAUGAUAUAGGACUUAAAAUGUAAACGAUGGCCAAAGUUAUGGUGAGAUUAAGCAAACUGAAAACCCGAGAUACAGAGAGAAAAAUAUCAAGGGGAGCUCAGCAAAACAGCCUAUUCACCAUGUUCUCAUCAAGAAGCUCUGCACAUGAACAUUGGGACUAUUCUUCAAAACAUCAAUUUUCAAUUAAAAAUCAAGGUAAGAUCCUGAAAGAUUCAGCAGAACAUAUCUUUCUGUAUGUUUUUCAUACAGCAGUAGAAAGUGAAAGAGUUGGGAAAUCAUUCAUAGCUGUUGCAAGUAGUCCAUACCCAAAGGGAUCAGCAAUAGUCUCACUGCCUAGAGCUUGAGCCAGAGUUGUACUUUAUUUCAUUCUUCACCUCCUCCAAAAAUGAGCCUCUUACUGAGCAACUGAGGAAUGUAACAAAGGCAAAGGUUUUGGAAUGAAUUUGAACUCUAAAGUUGCUUCCAACUCUGAAAAGCUCUUUAUUUCUUAUUAAAUUUAUGAGUUUUGGGGGAAUGGGCAGGAACAUUGUGCUCAGUAUGAGAAGGAGGAAAGAUGGAAAAAAUGUGCCACAGUCAGGUAUUAACAUAGCUCACUGUUCUGUUUCAUGUGCUUAAAACUAUGGCACUGUUGUCUGAUGCUGUGAAAUAAAAAUAUAGGCAUGAAGGUUUAAGGUAAGCUAACACACAGAAAGGAUGAUCGCAGAUGAAUUUUUACUCAGGAGAGCAAUACCAAUAGAAGGCAAUGGACCUGCUCAAGGAAUACAGUUACCCAUAAUGUUGUUUCUGUCACUGGACUCACAUAAUAGGGGUUCCCAUGUCAAAUAGGUGAUAGGACAGAAGCAUGCACACCAAGCAAUGACUGAUAGUGCUUAAUGAAGGCCAUGUGUAUUAGUAAGCCUGAGCACUGAGCACAGGAAAAGAGAGAUUUCUCCCUGCUUUUCUAAUGAUAUCUGAGAGCACGUUCUGUGUAAAGAAAUAUUUCUUUAGGAAAUAGCUGAUCAGAAUCCUUAGGAGAAAAAAAAAAAAAAAAAAAAAAAAAAACACGACUUUUCCAUUACUUCUGUCUUAGGUUAAAGGCAGUUUUGAUUUCUGCUGUUUCCCCAGAUUUCUUUAAAAAAAUUUCCAGACAUUCCCAUGGUGCUAAACUCAGGCCAACAUCUUAUAACAUUUUUCUGAACUGUUUAUAUCCUAAAUAGAGUAUGUUUCAGUUCAAAGGGUUUAAACCAAUUACGUUACACUCCUAGCCAAUACUCAGGACAUACAGGAAAGUCUUCCUGCUUCUGGUAGGAACAGAUGCAAGUAUUACUGUGGGCUGAGAAAAAAGUCUCCAAGUGCUAAUAAGUUUUCAUAAGUUACUGAUGAAUAUGUUUAAGUUGCACAAUCUAAUCUGUACAAUUAGCUUAGAAUGAAAAUUAAUGAUCAGGAUUGGUAGUACAGAAAAGUAUGUUUGUCACUAUUUGUAGUUAAUUAUUAAAUACAAUUUGUAAUACUUAUUCCUGUAGAAUUGUCUGCUAAAACUUCAGGCCUAGUAAUAUAUUUUUAAAUUUUACUGUCAUUAUUUUAUUGCUCUAUCAACACAUACUUUUUAGAGAUGUGUCAUAGCACUACCAGGCAUUAGAUAUAAUUAAAUGAGGGGAAAAAGAAAAGUAAGUUAUUCCCAACAGCUUGUAUAUUAGAUAGCACAUCAACUUUCACUAGUAAAUGAGACAGCUUAUUUUGGUUGAGCAAAGCUAUGUACAAUAUUUAUAACCCUGCUACACAAGCAAUUUUAGCCUACCUGCUAAUAAAGAGAUCUUGAGGGAAUCCAAAAUCUCAUGUAGCAUAUUCUCAGAUGUAAGUGCCAUCAUUCUCAGAACUCCUUCAUCAGUAUUAAGAUAAAGUCUGGAAUUUGUUGUCUGCUUUUCAUACCAGAUUAAUCAAGCCCUGUCUCUAUUUAUUUCUAAGAGGUCCACAAAUUUCAUACAAGAUCCUAUCUUAAAUCAGGAAUGAUAUGCAUUUGCUCUUCAAAUCAUUUUUUAUGGCUAGGAAUUCACACUUUUCCUGUCUAACACUUUGCAGAUAACAUGAGAAAAUUUCUAUGAAAAUAUCUCCAGACAGUAAAUACUGUAUCUUAUUAAUGUAACUAUUCAUAGAAUUUCAAUAGUUAACUUCUCAUUCAAUUAGGUGAUUUAUGUCACUUUCAGGAGUUAGAAAUAAAAUGCAUAUAGCAAAAAUAAGAGGAUGCAAUGGAUAUAAAAAUCUUUUAAAAAGAAAAUAAUUGUUGCAAAGAAAAGCUAAAUCAAAUAUGGUGAUUUUUAAUUUUCUGUUGCCAAAUGUAAGAAAAACAAUUGAAAAAAUAACCUAAAUAUUCCUGUGGAAUACAAUGUUAGUCAAAAUAAAUCACACAGACAAGCAAGAACUGAUUCCCAAAGCAGUUUUGAAACUACUCUAUUCAAGCAUUUGGUCAUGUCAGUUUCAAUCUAUUUGCUACGUGAAGGUCCUAAUACCAUUUGGCUUGCAUGAUCUUGAUAUUAUCCCAAAUAAACAACUGCUCAAAUAUAUCAGUUAUUAAUCUGAUUUUUAGUUCUCUACAGUAAUUCCAAUCUGGGGAGGGGAGGUAUCCAGCUUCCUUUGUAAAGUGAACCUUCAAAAGCACACAGACUUGCUCUUUGGUGGACAAAUUACUACUUACUCAUUAGUAAAAGAAUAUAUUUACUAUAGAAUGCCUCAUUGAAAUAUUUUUUCAGAAAGUGUUUUUUUUAUGAAAAUAAAUAAUUUUGCCUGAAAUUCCUUCAUCUAGUGUGGGGGAAAAAAAGUUUAACUUCUGAACAGUGGCAUUUUAUGUCAUUAAUGGGAGAAUCUCCUCCUAACUGAGAUCCUAUGGCUUAAACUCUACUGGCAAGAUCUCUGGAAGCUUAUUCAUCAGAGCUAGAACUAGUUAGAGGGCAGCAAGGUACCUAAAAUUCACCUUUUGUGUGUUAAAUAUUUAUCUGCUGACAGUCCUAUGCCUAGUAGGGUGCAAUGCUCCCUACCAAAACUCAAACAGGAAUUUCUCUGAUUAGAUCUAUUCAUGAGAAAAGUCAGUAUUACUAUGAAUAGUCCAAGCAAGAAAUAUUAAAAUAAUGUUGAAAAAUGUUACUGCAGGAAAAAUUAUAUCUUGCUAGCAGCUAGCAUUCAUACAACCAAGUAAUGUCCAACUGACAUCUCUACUCUAAUCCUAAACUUCUAGUAUUCUAUACAAACUAUAUAUAGAAUGAACUACAAUUUUUUAAAGAAACAAACACAAUAAUGCCUCUCGUUAUACUUAAAAGAUAAAAUCAGUUUCUUGCAAAUGUAUUCUUCUAAUUGCUUAAUACCAUCACACUUUGCAGAGCAAGCAUUGUUUCUUCUCCUAAGUCCAUACCAGCUAUCAAAGGAAAGAUAACUUUAUAAGUAGGUUUAAUGCAGUUUUCUCCUUUGAGAACUGCUCUGAAUUUGUUUCUGUUUGUGUAAAUACUUUCAGAUGUCACUUAAAUAUGAAGCCUGAGAUAAACACGCUUUUCACUUUGUUAUGGUUCAAAACUAAUUAAUCAGACUUCUUAGCCAAAACCAGAUACUUUUAAUGAAGUGUCGUGUUGUUUGAGAGUGCGCCUGGAAGAGAGCUUGACUUUACCUUUUCUCUGAGUAACUGUUAAAUAUAACAACCAGCAUCCUAGACACUUGCCUGCAAGUGACUUUGCCUGUACUGAUGAAUGGAAAGUAUUAUUUGUUCUAACUGCUCCUUGCAGAUGCUUUCCCCGUGGUUUCACAGCUUGGUCAUAAGGCAAACCUUUUAAAUAUUUAUUUUAUAUUUUUACAGCUGUUUAAUUGGGGCUGUCCCUACUCUGGUAUUUAUUUGUGAUGUUUGUUUACUCAGAAGGCUUUUAGGUUUGUAGAUGCAAGGUUUUGCAUGACUGAAAGGGCCAGGUACAGUGUACAGUUGAUCACUGGGUAACCCUCCCAAAUGCUGCUGGAGACCACUGGGGUCAAGUGGUGAGAUCAGAGUUGAUGCUUUCCCUGGGACUACUUGCAGCAGCACAAGCUCAGUGGUGGUGGUGGUGGUGCCUUUUAAUGUCAAGUUAAAAUAUAAUUCUACUUUGUAAAGAUAAAAACUGUGAAGCAGAGAGUAACUCUCUUCCAGAAGUGUAUUUUGAGCAGAAUAGAACUGUUUAUUAGUGAGUGUGGCUAGGAAAAGCCAUGAUGGUUUACUAACAGAAAUUCAGUGUAUGGCUGCUCCCUUGCAGCCAAAAGUCACAAGUCAGACACCAAACAUCAUGGGGCUAAAAAAAGAAAAAAUACAUUCCUCCUCAAACAAUGAACUUGAAACUCUACCUUGAUUUUAGAGGCUUUAGAGUUACAUGGGUUUUGAGUUUUAAUAUCUCUAGAUGAGGCAGCUAAGAGCAUGGUGCUGAUUCAGAGCACAAAUUUUGUCUGCUGUCCCCAGGAUGAGACAGCCUGAAUGCAACUAGCAGCCAGCUCUGUCUGAACAGUGAGGUCCUGAUGGAACCCCUAGAAAGCACAGCUGCACAGGCUGCCCAGCAUCCAAAGCACAGUGCUCGAGUCCAAGUACCACAGGCUGGGUGAUAGAGAUCUCUAAAGCUCACAGUUCUGCAGACCUAUGGGAGCAUUAACAAGAAAAGGUUUGAUGUUUAUCCUCAAACAUCAUAAAAUAUCUAGGAAAAAGUACACCAGUUACUGAAGACAUCUGAACAUGCUGAGCAAUUUAAUCUGGCUAUGACCUUUUACAACUGUGAACAUUUGUGGCUCUAGACUGUUCAUAAGAAAAACUCAGUUGUGUAAAAUUCAACCUCCCCUUCCCCACUGCCUUAUGCAUUUCCUAUGACUAUUUUCUUCCACUUCUGUCUGUAUGGAUUUAAUGCAAUUCUACAUUAAAACACAGCUCGUGUGCUGUGCACGUGUGCACAACGUCAAGGCUAUGAGAGAGCAGAAAGCCCUUGUCCUUAAUGAGUAGGGCAUUCACACCCCUGGCCCUGAAUAAUAUAUGUGGUGAAUGACAUGAGUCUAAAUUUCUGUUUUCCUUUACUUGGAUCUAUUACUGUAGGCAUUUUUCCUUUCUAUCUUGUAGCCACCUUCUGUGCUUUCAUCUGAAUAUAACUUCAAGUAAUGGAUUCCACCAGGGAUUUUUUUCCCCCUUUCUCCUUUUCAGUGUAGACAAAAGAGUUAAACAAGAAAAAAAAGAGUUCUGGGCAAAUCAAUGAAGUUGAGGUUAGUGACUUUGAAAAACAAAACCUCCUGUAGUACUGAUACUAGUGGGUAAUGGUAACUUACCAAUUUGUUUCUAUUCCCAUAGUAACUAUUCUAAGUACCAUGGUAACAAACCUAAACAAACAUAAAUAUUAUCUCUCCUUGGUCCCAAAAUUUUCACGUUUAAUGCUGUCCUAAUAAAUAGCUAGAUUAACAGUUCCCCAGCUAUUGUUAACAAAGACAUGCUACAAUAAAUAGAUUCUCAGUGUACCUAACAGUGUUCAAGCAGUUGUGGUGCUUAAUAAAUAGUAUGUAAUUAUAUAUACAUAAUUGCUUUUAUUUAGCAACAUAGGAACAUGUAACAGUAAGUAGCACAUGUCAGUGAAACAGCAUUCUACGGAGACAGGUUGGGUGAACUCACUGGCAUGGCUUAUCAGUCUGUUUGACAGUCUGAAAAGCUAGAGCUGUUUUCCACAUUCAUAUUACCUGUCAGAAGCAUAUUAUGUGAUUAACUUAUGAUUGUAAAGAAAAUAGAUGCCUUUAAAAAUGAUUAUUCUGAUGGAAUUCCAACUCAGAGCCCCUACAGACACUUAGUUCUUUUCUCCUUCAUCUGUUUCACAGUGUUCUGUACAUAUUUUGUUAUUUACCCAAAGUUCAAUUUUUGUUUGGUAGUUUGAUUAUGUCAUACUUUAAUUUUCUAAGACAAAUACACCCUGCUUCUGUUUGGAAACUGAGAACUGAGCUUUCCUGCAUGCACACCCUAAAGGCUCUGAGAGAAGAUGGAGCAGUUGCUUGCAGCAUGCAGCAGCCCAGUGAGAGCUGCCCACUCCUACAGUCUCAGCCCCCGCACAGAGUGUGCUGCACCACUUGCUCAGAGGCGUAGGGCAGCAGCUGCAGGCAGAUGCCAGCAUUUGUAGAGGCAGUUCAUCUCACAGGCGUGCUUUGCUCAGGAUUUUUCUGACCAGGUGACUUGCUAUUUAAACAAAGAGGAAGGCAUCCUUUAGAAGAGCAGCUUGAAAGCAAUAGUUCUCUCUCUUAUUCUUCCCUUAG